rnacentral:rRNA from 1 species
GAUAACGUAGGCGUACACAUGCAGUCGAGCGGAGUGAUGGUGCUUGCACUAUCACUUAGCGGCGGACGGGUGAGUAAUGCUUAGGAAUCUGCCUAUUAGUGGGGGACAACAUUUCGAAAGGAAUGCUAAUACCGCAUACGUCCUACGGGAGAAAGCAGGGGAUCUUCGGACCUUGCGCUAAUAGAUGAGCCUAAGUCGGAUUAGCUAGUUGGUGGGGUAAAGGCCUACCAAGGCGACGAUCUGUAGCGGGUCUGAGAGGAUGAUCCGCCACACUGGGACUGAGACACGGCCCAGACUCCUACGGGAGGCAGCAGUGGGGAAUAUUGGACAAUGGGCGCAAGCCUGAUCCAGCCAUGCCGCGUGUGUGAAGAAGGCCUUAUGGUUGUAAAGCACUUUAAGCGAGGAGGAGGCUACUGAAGUUAAUACCUUCAGAUAGUGGACGUUACUCGCAGAAUAAGCACCGGCUAACUCUGUGCCAGCAGCCGCGGUAAUACAGAGGGUGCAAGCGUUAAUCGGAUUUACUGGGCGUAAAGCGCGCGUAGGCGGCUAAUUAAGUCAAAUGUGAAAUCCCCGAGCUUAACUUGGGAAUUGCAUUCGAUACUGGUUAGCUAGAGUGUGGGAGAGGAUGGUAGAAUUCCAGGUGUAAGCGGUGAAAUGCGUAGAGAUCUGGAGGAAUACCGAUGGCGAAAGGCAGCCAUCUGGCCUAACACUGACGCUGAGGUGCGAAAAGCAUGGGGAGCAAACAGGAUUAGAUACCCCUGGUAGUCCAUGCCGUAAACGAUGUCUACUAGCCGUUGGGGCCUUUUGACGCUUUUAGUGGCGCAGCUAACGCGAUAAAGUAGACCCGCCCCUGC